rnacentral:lncRNA from 1 species
AAUACGGUGAUGCUUGUGACCUGUGUCUGUUGGGGCUUAGUUCCUUAAGAAUCCUGAUUGAAACAGUGGCCUGACACCCAGCAGAGAUAUGGGUAAUGUACACACAAGGAUUCCCAAAUGACCAAGAAGGAAAGCUCUGUAAGGGAGUAUUAAUUGUUUGCCUCCAGGAUCAGUAUUCAUUCUUGGAUCAAACCCCAGCUCCACUGUACACCAGCCACGUGAUGCUGGGUGCUUCCUCAUCAUCUCCACAUGUCCUUUUGCCAUCUGCAAGGGGAGGAUAGUAACCAUGACUCAUCUCACAGGGUGAUGAUGAUGUGUACAUGAGAUAUUGCAGGUAAAGAUGGAGAUGAGAAGCGUGACCAGUUAUUGUGACUACAGGAUGAAGGGGCUGGUCUAACCUUGAGCUUGCGAGGAAAGCAGAGUAAAGAUGCCUGCUGACCCUGGACAAGGGUUUUCUGCUCAGAAUUGUUUGUCCACUUCAGGAACUGUGGUGUAUGGCGAGCCCAUCACUGCCAGCUUGGGAACGGACGGCUCCCAUUACUGGAGCAAGAACUGGGCCAAGGCUG